UACAGAGGGUGCGAGCGUUAAUCGGAAUUACUGGGCGUAAAGGGCGCGUAGGCGGCGUGUCAAGUCAGGCGUGAAAGCCCCGGGCUCAACCUGGGAACCGCGCUUGAGACUGGCAUGCUCGAGUUCGGGAGAGGAUGGUGGAAUUCCCAGUGUAGAGGUGAAAUUCGUAGAUAUUGGGAAGAACACCGAUGGCGAAGGCAGCCAUCUGGACCGACACUGACGCUGAGGCGCGAAAGCGUGGGGAGCGAACAGG
rnacentral:rRNA from 1 species